UCUUCUUUUCUUUCUUGCACAUGGAAGCAAGAAUGGAAGCCCUAGCCCACCUUCCUCGUGAGAUCAUCGACCCCACGAUCCAGCACCUCAAGCGUGCAAUGAAUCUCUCCAUAAAGCACAAAUUUCUCCCGGAAGAUCUACAGGUCCUCUUUCUCUAUACAUAUUUUUCGUUCAUCAAUUCAAUCGAUUUUUUUCUUUGGAUUUUGUAUAUUAAUGUAGAUUAUAAAAUGAGUUGCAAAUGAUUGAAUCUGUAUAGUUUACAUCAGUCAUUUAAAAAAAAAAAUGGUUAUGUUAUUCUUUGGCACCUUACAUGCUUGAUAAAAUGCCAAACGACCCAAACUUGUUGUAUUGGAGAGAACCCUGCUUUAUUCCCCUGAGCUAGGUUUUUCUGUACAUGGUGUAGAAGAAAAGUUCUAUUGUUAUAACUUUUCUAAUAGAAACUUCACAAUGUACUAUAUAUGUAUAUCAGAUUUCAUGUGUACAGUUAUAAUGCUAAAAUUGACUGUUUAAAUCUGGGAAAACUGCCACAUGCAUAUAUAGAAAUGAUAAAAAUUCAGAUUAAACUACACUCAGUUUCUUAAAAGAAACAUUUCAAUAAUUCUGCAGCAUCAGUUUUUUGGUUUUCCUAUGUAUUGGUAUGAAGUAUUAAGCUUAAUUAUCUGAUAUGUUGUGCAGUCAUAGGAUGUGAUUGGAUGGUUCUGCUGGUGGUAGAAAGCCAUUUGUUCGAAUAAAGCUACUGAUUCUGUUAAGCAUAUAGAAAUUUUAGUAGUAAUCAUAGGAGGGAAUACCUCUACUUUGGAAUCCUAUGAUAUCUACCAUAAAGAAUCCAGAGGGUAUUCAAGAAUUCCCAAUAACUACAACUCGCUCGAUCAGGUAAUUGAUUAUGGAGUUUAUAAGCUUUGGAAAUACAAUAACAUUGGGCUGUUGGCUGAAAUGGAUAUUAGUUGAGAAGAUCCUGAGUAACUUUCUCAUCUUGCAAUUCUGUGGACAAGGCCCAACUAUAUUAUAUGCAGAUUAAAAGAUGCUUUGGUGUUGUUAGUUACUGGUGAAUAGAGAAGUCAUUGGUGAGUUUUUUAUGC